CCAGGAAGAAUGGUGUCAGUUGAUGAUCAGCCUAAGAGUUAUAUGAUAUUUUUAUGAUAAGGUGGGUUUCAUGUUUCUAAAUAUAUUUGUUAUAAGUGGUAGUGGUUUUAAUCUGCAUUAUAGUCUUGCUUUAAUUUUUUAUGAAUAGUUCUUGAAUAUAGAGGAAUUUUUAUAUAUAUGUUGAGAAGAAUAAGAGGCGUGUGUUGAUACAUACUAAGAUGAGUCUUAGCCAUUGAUCCAAGUGUUUGGUUUGCUAUUUGGAAAAUGAAAUAGUGUUUGGUUGUUUCACUUGUUUUCUUUAUUUUUUAAGUGAAUAAAAUGUGUGGACUACUCUCCGCCUUUAAUUUGCACUCAUGAGUAGUACUUUAAAUUUUCCUCUAAUAAUAGUGUUAUUGCUUAUUGUUUAACGGUGUUUUCUGCUAUAUAUUCAGGUGGAGGAAAGUUAGUUGUAUUUGGAAUGUUGAGACGACCAAGAAGAUAGAUGAAGUCUGCAUGCUACCAUAGAAGAUUUUAAUAUUUAUGUUAACUAAUUAGUUGUAACUUAGAGAUAUCAAUGUUACAAUAUUAGUGGCUAUACAUUUCUGACUUUUAUGCUAUAUAUACAUACAUUUUUUAUGAUAUAUGUUUAAGUUUUAUUUCAUAAAUAAUAGUCUCAAUUUUUAUGUGCCAAAAAUA
rnacentral:lncRNA from 1 species